rnacentral:rRNA from 1 species
AUUGAACGCUGGCGGAAUGCCUAACACAUGCAAGUCGAGCGGGGUAGCAAUAUCCAGCGGCGGACGGGUGAGGAAUACGUAGGAAUUUGCCUUUAGGUGGGGGAUAGCUUGGGGAAACUCAAGGUAAUACCGCAUGAUCUCGCAAGAGCAAAGUGGGGGACCGCAAGGCCUCACGCCUUUAGAGAAGCCUACGUCUGAUUAGCUUGUUGGUGAGGUAAUGGCUCACCAAGGCGACGAUCAGUAACUGGUCUGAGAGGACGAUCAGUCACACCGGAACUGAGACACGGUCCGGACUCCUACGGGAGGCAGCAGUGGGGAAUAUUGGACAAUGGGCGAAAGCCUGAUCCAGCAAUUCCGCGUGUGUGAAGAAGGCCUUCGGGUCGUAAAGCACUUUAGGUUGGGAAGAAAAAGCUUCGGCGAAUAUCCGGAGUGUUGACGGUACCAACAGAAUAAGCACCGGCUAACUCAGUGCCAGCCGCCGCCGUAA